GGGUUGUUAGCUCAGUUGGUAGAGCAGUAGACUCUUAAUCUAUUGGUCGUGGGUUCGACCCCCACACAACCCACCA
rnacentral:tRNA from 3 species